rnacentral:rRNA from 1 species
GAUGAACGCUAGCGGCAGGCUUAAUACAUGCAAGUCGAGGGCUCAGCAAUGGGACCGGCGCACGGGUGCGUAACACGUAUGCAACCUGCCUGUAUCUGGGGGAUAGCCCGAGGAAACUCGGAUUAAUACCGCAUACCACUGAGGGUCGGCAUCGAUUUUCAGUGAAAGAUUUAUCGGAUACAGAUGGGCAUGCGCAGGAUUAGCUAGUUGGUGUGGUAACGGCACACCAAGGCGACGAUCCUUAGGGGCUCUGAGAGGAGUAACCCCCACACUGGCACUGAGAUACGGGCCAGACUCCUACGGGAGGCAGCAGUAGGGAAUAUUGGGCAAUGGAGGCAACUCUGACCCAGCCAUGCCGCGUGCAGGAAGACGGCCCUCUGGGUUGUAAACUGCUUUUAAGUAGGAGGAAAGUGCAGCUUGCGAGCUGUUUUGACGUUACUACUAGAAUAAGCCACGGCUAACUACGUGCCAGCAGCCGACGG